GAGAGCAGGCAAAAGAAAGGUGAAACCCUAGCUUCAAGAAAUCAAGAAUCAAAGCCAAAUACAUAAGAUAAUCCGGUGCAUGAACCCUCCUUGCGAAAAUCUAACCCUAAUUUGUGUGAAGGAGGAAGGUUCCAAUACUAGGAAAUCGGAAGGUUCACAAGAUCGAGGUAAAACUCCACUUUAGGCGAAUUGGAGAUAUGGAGCGAGCACGUGUCCAUGCUUUAUUAUACCAAGCGCUUCCGCUAGAUAUAUGCACACUUUUUGGGUCCGUGUCUUGUUAUUUUGUUUAAUCUUGUUAGAAGUCAUACACUUAAAAACUUGUUGUCUUCGUUUUGGGAAGUUUAAAGUUAAAUGGGUCGUAGAUUGUCGUUAGUUUAAUAACUUAAAAACAGGGGGCAUGCUCGUUUUACGAACGGGUCAUGC
rnacentral:lncRNA from 1 species